rnacentral:rRNA from 1 species
CUCAGAUUGAACGCUGGCGGCAUGCUUUACACAUGCAAGUCGAACGGCAGCGCGGGGCAACCUGGCGGCGAGUGGCGAACGGGUGAGUAAUAUAUCGGAACGUACCCAAGAGUGGGGGAUAACGUAGCGAAAGUUACGCUAAUACCGCAUACGAUCUAAGGAUGAAAGCAGGGGACCGCAAGGCCUUGUGCUCCUGGAGCGGCCGAUAUCUGAUUAGCUAGUUGGUGAGGUAAAGGCUCACCAAGGCGACGAUCAGUAGCUGGUCUGAGAGGACGACCAGCCACACUGGAGCUGAGACACGGUCCAGACUCCUACGGGAGGCAGCAGUGGGGAAUUUUGGACAAUGGGGGCAACCCCGAUCCAGCAAUGCCGCGUGAGUGAAGAAGGCCUUCGGGUUGUAAAGCUCUUUUGUCAGGGAAGAAACGGGAGUGGCUAAUAUCCAAUCCUAAUGACGGUACCUGAAGAAUAAGCACCGGCUAACUACGUGCCAGCAGCCGCGGUAAUACGUAGGGUGCAAGCGUUAAUCGGAAUUACUGGGCGUAAAGCGUGCGCAGGCGGUUUUGUAAGUCUGACGUGAAAUCCCCGGGCUCAACCUGGGAAUUGCGUUGGAGACUGCAAGGCUGGAAUCUGGCAGAGGGGGGUAGAAUUCC